GAUGAACGCUGGCGGCGUGCCUAAUACAUGCAAGUCGAGCGAAGCGGGGACGGGUGAGUAACACGUGGAAAAACGCCUAUAAGAAUGGGAUAACUUAGGGAAACCGGUGCUAAACCGGAUACUAAGAGAUGGCUCCGAGUUGCAUUAGCUAGUUGGUAAGGUCACGGCUGACCAAGGCAACGAUGCGUAGCCGACCUGAGAGGUGGAUCGGCCACACUGGAACUGAGACACGGUCCAGACUCCUACGGGAGGCAGCAGUGGGGAAUCUUCCGCAAUGGGCUAAAGCCUGACGGAGCAAUGCCGCGUGAGUGAUGAAGGUCUUCGGAUCGUAAAACUCUGUUAUUAGGGAAGCGGUACCUAAUCAGAAAGCCACGGCUAACUACGUGCCAGCAGCCGCGGUAAUUC
rnacentral:rRNA from 1 species